rnacentral:lncRNA from 1 species
AGCACAUUCUAACGUCCAAUCUUUGUGACAAAGCACUGGAACACAGUCACCAGCCUCCUCAACAGAUGAGCUGCAACUCCCCUGCAAAGCAACUAACCAACCAUUCUAAAUUGAAGUCAUCAAAGAAAGUUUUCUGCUUAAAAUGAACUUCAAAAAGGCAUGCUCUGGAUAGGAGAUGCUUCUUGAGCCUGGACAGCAAAAAGAUGUGAAGCAGAUUCGAGCUAACCUGCCGUAGCCAAAAUACAGGUAAGAAAGUUAUCUUGCGUUGCCAUAAGCCACUGAGAUAUGGGGCUGUUUGUUACCAUGGGAUAACACAUUCUAAGCUGACUAAUAAAGCAAAUCUACCACCACCCCCCACAAGACCAAACUAGGAUUUAAAUAAUUAUAACAGUCCCUCAGUUAUUUCCAAUUAGUGCUGGUGUUCCAUAUUAACUUCAGACCUCUCUGCUACCAAUAUUUUUUAACUGGUAUUUAUGGGAGAGUUCAUUGCUCCCAGCCUCCCCUGCUUUCUUUCUGCCUGCCCACAUCAUCUCAGAGUCACAGUGAUUAUUCCUUUGCCUUUCAUGACUGUUUCUUUUAGGCCUUCCUAUUCUCCCUGUAGUCCAUGGACGACUGCUCAUUCCAUGUCUGCAUAUGGUGGCUAUGGCCAAUGAUAUUACCCUUCAAC